CUGGAAAGGGUUAAACCGAUAGAGGUCCCCCCUGUGGGUUUGAAAAUUAUCGUUUUGAUGACUCGNGCCNUCAGCUGUUGGGGAGUAAUGCUCACCAAGCGAGACGGGUAGCCGCCUGAGANGUGACCGCCCNACUGGACUGAGACACGGCCCAGAUUCUUACGGAGGCAGCAGUGGGAAUAUUGCACAAUGGGCNCAAGCCUGAUGCAGCGACGUCGCGUGAGGGAUGACGGCCUUCGGGUUGUAAACCUCUUUCAGUAGGGAAGAAGCGAAAGUGACGGUACCUGCAGAAGAAGCACCGGCUAACUACGUGCCAGCAGCCGCGGUAAUACGUAGGGUGCGAGCGUUAUCCGGAAUUAUUGGGCGUAAAGAGCUCGUAGGCGGUUUGUCGCGUCUGUCGUGAAAGUCCGGGGCUUAACCCCGGAUCUGCGGUGGGUACGGGCAGACUAGAGUGCAGUAGGGGAGACUGGAAUUCCUGGUGUAGCGGUGGAAUGCGCAGAUAUCAGGAGGAACACCGAUGGCGAAGGCAGGUCUCUGGGCUGUAACUGACGCUGAGGAGCGAAAGCAUGGGGAGCGAACAGGAUUAGAUACCCUGGUAGUCCAUGCCGUAAACGUUGGGCACUAGGUGUGGGGACCAUUCCACGGUUUCCGCGCCGCAGCUAACGCAUUAAGUGCCCCGCCUGGGGAGUACGGCCGCAAGGCUAAAACUCAAAGGAAUUGACGGGGGCCCGCACAAGCGGCGGAGCAUGCGGAUUAAUUCGAUGCAACGCGAAGAACCUUACCAAGGCUUGACAUGUUCUCGAUCGCCGUAGAGAUACGGUUUCCCCUUUGGGGCGGGUUCACAGGUGGUGCAUGGUUGUCGUCAGCUCGUGUCGUGAGAUGUUGGGUUAAGUCCCGCAACGAGCGCAACCCUCGUUCCAUGUUGCCAGCACGUCGUGGUGGGGACUCAUGGGAGACUGCCGGGGUCAACUCGGAGGAAGGUGAGGACGACGUCAAAUCAUCAUGCCCCCUAUGUCUUGGGCUUCACGCAUGCUACAAUGGCCGGUACAAUGGGUUGCGAUACUGUGAGGUGGAGCUAAUCCCAAAAAGCCGGUCUCAGUUCGGAUUGGGGUCUGCAACUCGACCCCACGAAGUCGGAGUCGCUAGUAAUCGCAGAUCAGCAACGCUGCGGUGAAUACGUUCCCGGGCCUUGUACACACCGCCCGUCAAGUCACGAAAGUUGGUAACACCCGAAGCCGGUGGCCUAACCCUUGUGGAGGAGCUUCGAAGGGGCCAC
rnacentral:rRNA from 1 species